rnacentral:misc_RNA from 1 species
GUAGGUGAACCUGCGGAAGGAUCAUUACCAUUUAUCCAAAACACUUUAUCAACCCCUUUGUAUGUGAAUCCUCAGAAACGUAUUUUUGGGGGAAGGGACGGGAAACCAAAAAGAGAAAAAAAGGAAAACAAAAUAUAUAUAUACUUGAAGAAGAAGAAAGGAUAUAGGGGCGAGAAGUUUAUUUUUUUAAAUUUCUCACUCUCUUUUUCUUUCUUUCUUUCUUUUGGGUUUUUUUGUUUCUCUCUCUUCU